GACAACUUAGUGUAAUGGUUAGCACGCUGUAAGUGGUAACAUGAUGUGUGAAGCAUCGGAAGAGUUGGUUCAAUUCCAGCAGUUGUCA